rnacentral:rRNA from 1 species
CCUACGGGAGGCUGCAGUGGGGAAUAUUGGACAAUGGGGGGAACCCUGAUCCAGCCAUGCCGCGUGUGUGAAGAAGGCCCUCGGGUUGUAAAGCACUUUCAGUGAGGAAGAACGCCUGGUGGUUAAUACCCAUCAGGAAAGACAUCACUCACAGAAGAGGCACCGGCUAACUCCGUGCCAGCAGCCGCGGUAAUACGGAGGGUGCGAGCGUUAAUCGGAAUUACUGGGCGUAAAGCGCGCGUAGGUGGCUUGAUAAGCCGGUUGUGAAAGCCCCGGGCUCAACCUGGGAACGGCAUCCGGAACUGUCAAGCUAGAGUGCAGGAGAGGAAGGUAGAAUUCCCGGUGUAGCGGUGAAAUGCGUAGAGAUCGGGAGGAAUACCAGUGGCGAAGGCGGCCUUCUGGACUGACACUGACACUGAGGUGCGAAAGCGUGGGUAGCAAACAGGAUUAGAUACCCCUGUAGUC